rnacentral:rRNA from 1 species
AGGACGAACGCUGGCGGCGUGCUUAACACAUGCAAGUCGAGCGGAAAGGCCCUUCGGGGUACUCGAGCGGCGAACGGGUGAGUAACACGUGAGCAACCUGCCCUUAGCUCCGGGAUAGCUCCGGGAAACCGGAAUUAAUACCGGAUACGACCACGGCCGACAUCUGCUGUGGUGGAAAGGAUUCCGGCUAAGGAUGGGCUCGCGGCCUAUCAGCUAGUUGGUGGAGUAACGGCCCACCAAGGCGACGACGGGUAGCCGGCCUGAGAGGGCGACCGGCCACACUGGGACUGAGACACGGCCCAGACUCCUACGGGAGGCAGCAGUGGGGAAUCUUGCGCAAUGGGCGAAAGCCUGACGCAGCGACGCCGCGUGGGGGAUGAAGGCCUUCGGGUUGUAAAACCCCUUUCAGCAGGACGAAGCGAAAGUGACGGUACCUGCAGAAGAAGCGCCGGCUAACUACGCGCCAGCAGCCGC